rnacentral:ncRNA from 1 species
UUUUUGCUACGGUUGUGGGGAAUCCCGACGAGACGCGCCGUACCGGGUAUGCAAAGACGACGCACC